rnacentral:rRNA from 1 species
UGGGGAAUCUUGGACAAUGGGGGCAACCCUGAUCCAGCGAUGCCGCGUGUGUGAAGAAGGCCUUAGGGUUGUAAAGCACUUUAGUUGGGGAGGAGGAGUUUGCGUUGAAUAGACGCAGACGAGGACGUUACCCAAAGAAUAAGCACCGGCUAACUCUGUGCCAGCAGCCGCGGUAAUACAGAGGGUGCAAGCGUUAAUCGGAAUAAUUGGGCGUAAAGAGUGCGUAGGUGGUAUCUUAAGUGGUAUGUGAAAGACCGGGGCUUAACCUUGGGGUGUCAUAUCAUACUGGGAUGCUAGAGGACAGUAGAGGAAGGUGGAAUUUCCGGUGUAGCGGUGAAAUGCGUAGAUAUCGGGAGGAACAUCAGUGGCGAAGGCGACCUUCUGGGCUGGACCUGACACU